GGAAGUAAAAGUCGUAACAAGGUCUCCGUUGGUGAACCAGCGGAGGGAUCAUUACCGAGUUUACAACUCCCAAACCCAAUGUGAACGUUACCAAACUGUUGCCUCGGCGGGAUCUCUGCCCCGGGUGCGUCGCAGCCCCGGACCAAGGCGCCCGCCGGAGGACCAACCAAAAACUCUUUUGUAUACCCCCUCGCGGGUUUUUAUAUCUGAGCCAUCUCGGCGCCUCUCGUAGGCGUUUCGAAAAUGAAUCAAAACUUUCAACAACGGAUCUCUUGGUUCUGGCAUCGAUGAAGAACGCAGCGAAAUGCGAUAAGUAAUGUGAAUUGCAGAAUUCAGUGAAUCAUCGAAUCUUUGAACGCACAUUGCGCCCGCCAGUAUUCUGGCGGGCAUGCCUGUCCGAGCGUCAUUUCAACCCUCGAACCCCUCCGGGGGGUCGGCGUUGGGGAUCGGCCCUUUACGGGGCCGGCCCCGAAAUACAGUGGCGGUCUCGCCGCAGCCUCUCCUGCGCAGUAGUUUGCACACUCGCAUCGGGAGCGCGGCGCGUCCAUUGCCGUAAAACACCCAACUUUCUGAAAUGUUGACCUCGGAUCAGGUAGGAAUACCCGCUGAACUUAAGCAUAUCAAUAAGCGGAGGA
rnacentral:rRNA from 1 species